rnacentral:rRNA from 1 species
GACGAACGCUGGCGGCGUGCUUAACACAUGCAAGUCGAACGGAAAGGCCCUGCUUUUGUGGGGUGCUCGAGUGGCGAACGGGUGAGUAACACGUGAGUAACCUGCCCUUGACUUUGUGAGAACUUCAGGGGACUCGGGCUAAUACCCGAGAGGAGCUCCUGCUGCAUGGUGGGGGUUGGAAAGUUUCGGCGGUUGGGGAUGUACUCGCGGCUUAUCAGCUUGAUUGUGGGGUAGUGGCUUACCAAGGCAUGGACGGGUAGCCGGCCUGAGAGGGGGACCGGGGACCAUGGGCCUGAGAUAGGGACCAGACGCCUACGGGCGGCAGCAGUGGGGAAUAUUGCACAACGGGCGGAAGCGUGAUGCAGAAACGCCGCGUGCGGGAUGCCGGCCUUCGGGUUGUAAACCGCUUUCGCAUGUGACGAAGCGUGAGUGACGGUACCGGGUAAAGAAGCACCGGCUAACUACGUG